UGGGGAAUAUUGCACAAAGGGGGAAACCCUGAUGCAGCGACGCAGCGUGCGGGAUGACGGCCUUCGGGUUGUAAACCGCUUUCAGCAGGGAAGAAGCGCAAGUGACGGUACCUGCAGAAGAAGUACCGGCUAACUACGUG
rnacentral:rRNA from 1 species